rnacentral:pre_miRNA from 1 species
UUAAGUCAAAUUUGUAUAGAUUUGGAACGUUUGCCUAUGUUUGCCGCUAGGGGCAUUGUUCCAGCUGCAUACAUAUUUUAGGUA